rnacentral:snRNA from 1 species
GGAUGUGAGGGCAAUCUGGCUGUGACAUCUGUCACCCCAUUGAUCGCUAGGGUUGAUUCAGUUGAUCUGGCUGGCUAGGUGGGUGUCCCCUUCCUCCCUCGCCACUCCAUGUGUGUCCCUCCCAAAGCUGCAAGCUAGGUGGAAGAGGACAACCUUCCCUGCUAGAGAAGGACUGUUCUUUGGUCAAGGGUAUACGAGUAACUGCGCUCCCCUGCUAGAACCUCCAAACAAGUUCCCAAUUAAAUGUACUGGAUGUGUAUAAUUUUUAAAAAAUCAUACAAUAACUAUUAGCUUUUUAAAAUAAUUAGGGCGAGAUUUACU